ACGUAUCACACUUGAGUGGCUAGAUUUUUGUUGACAUUUGACUUGCAUAUUUAUACUGAUUAUUCGAGCUUUUGAUAACCGGUAUAUGAUUUUAUGAUAUGUGCAUUGAUUUGUCGUGGUUUUCAAAAUUCAUAUUAUUAUUGUGUUGGUAUGGAUGUGUAGGGAUUCUUACUGGGCUGUAAAGCUCACCCCCUCUUCUUUUUCUUUACCAGAGUUGCAGGAUGCAUAGAUUUUGAUGGGAUGGGCGCAGAGUGCAAAUAUCAGAGUCAUUAGCUAGUAGUUUGUUUAUCCUUCUUUGAUGUCGA
rnacentral:lncRNA from 1 species